GCUUCUUGAACACCAUAAUGUAAGUAUUUCUCCCAGAAUUGAUUUUUACUUCUUUUGUUUUAUUCUUUUGUGCCACCUCAUUUCACUCAGUCCAAAGACCAAAGCAAUGCACUUGUUUUCAUAAAAUAUCAAAUAUGCUAAUGCACAACGAAUGGCCAUAUGUGAUUGUUUGCACUUCGUGUAACAAUGGGCGAAUUUACAUCUCAGUCAGCGAUAGAAAAUCACUGCAGCUAAUGGGUGUUUGACAUUUCUGUGAUUUUAAGUGUAAAAACAGUGGUCUUUGUUUCCAAUUCAGUUUAAUAUUAAACUUUUCUGUGACGUUUAAUUACUUCUCAACCUUAUGGUGUGCCGUGUUUAAUUCAAAUCUUAGCUGUAGUCUGUUUCAUAUAUUCAUCACAUUUUUAAUUUUCUUUUCAGAGAGGAUCUCCACUCAUCCUUCACCAUAUGUACAACAACAGCAGCUCUAUCAGACUGGUAUUGUUGUAAUGUGAGACUGUGUUUCACUUCUUCAGCCCUGAAAGACCUCAAAAUAUAACAAGGUCAACAGACUGGUAGAGACGUACAGCUCAAGAUGUCAUGAAAGCCAAAAAGAAUCCAUGCAAUCAGUUUAAUGACUUGACCAUAAUGAUGUUUUAAAAACUCGCUUGGUGUGUCCAAAACCUUUACAUUUUUUGGCAAACAUGAUCCUUUAAUGCGUUCUUUCUGUAACAUGACAAACUGAAGUGAAGGAGAUCCUCCGCUGUUAUCUGCUCUCGUCCAUCUGCGCCGAGCUGUGCGACUUUGCCGAUGGAUGCGAUAAUGCCAUGUUGACUUUUAUGCAUGAGAAGACCUCAGACCUGGGUGCUGUCCAGCUCCUCAUGCACUCUGCAUCACCCGGAAGCUUUACUUCCGUUUAUUUGUUCCAGUCCUAGUUAGAU